rnacentral:rRNA from 1 species
CAGCCGCCACGGUAAUACAGAGGAUGCAGGCGUUAUCCGGAAUGAUUGGGCGUAAAGCGUCUGUAGGUGGCUUUUCAAGUCCGCUGUCAAAUCCCAGGGCUCAACCGGGGAGGGUCAUUGGAAACUGGGAAACUUGAGUGCAGAAGAGGAGAGUGGAAUUCCACGUGUAGCGGUGAAAUGCGUAGAGAUGUGGAGGAACACCAGUGGCGAAGGCGACUCUCUGGUCUGUAACUGACGCUGAGGAGCGAAAGCGUGGGGAGCGAACAGGAUUAGAUACCCCAGUAGUCCCUGUCUCUUAUAC